CAAUUUUUAACAAAAAUCCUUUUACACCACCAUUGUCAUUUUACUCAAAAUAUGUUUUGUUUGAUCCUUUAAAAAAAGAGAAAGUGAAAAUACCCUCAUGAAGGGUAAGCCAGUUCUACAUUUCAAACUCGCUGGCCUGUGCACCUUUAGGAUCAGUCAAGCUCUCGUGGAGUUGUGUUACAUAUGGAAUUGAAUUCAUAUAUAUUCUUAUUUGAACUAUAAUUCUCAAAUGGAGAAGUGAACCCAGAGGCAGACAGGCAGGAGAGACAGAGGAAAAAAUCUACAGGUUUGAUGGGUUUCAUUCAUCAGGAAACUUUCUGAGUUCAGAAUGAAGAAGAAGAGACAGCUGUAGUAGAACAUUAGAACAUCUGACUGAUCAAAUCACCCCUGCAGUAGUUCACGGACCCAUCCAAGGUACUACUCUGGAUUAUCACUGUGGAGAAGCUUUCCAGCCUCAGGAUGGGACGAGUAGAAAAGUGUGAGGGAGCCUGUUUAAAGUGUUCUAUGUGGAAUUGCAGCCUGAUUUCCCAAGCCAAAGAUGUCUCAAUAACACCAACCCACCUACUGUUUGGUCCCUCAUAAAACCAUGGCUCCUGCUGCUCAGGCCUUUCGGGAAGAGGAAUGUAUGGAGAAAGCAGCUUUGCAAAUGAGAUGUCACAUACCCAGUGACUUUUACAGAGAGCAAAGUCCUGGCCUCUGAAGGCAGUGGAAAAGCUCCCAAAAAUUUCAGUGGCACCAGAAGUCGACUUGCAAAGAGCAAAUGCAAGAGAAUCUUCUUUCCAGGAGUUGUGACAGCUUUACAUAGAGCCCAUGUCCAUCUUCCAGCAAACACAUAGUGACGAAAGAACUUCAGGGAAUUUGGAAAGGAUGCUGGGCAUAGAUUCCUGAUUUAUGAGACCUUCUGGUGGGCUAAGGUGUACUGCUAUCAAGGUCUUCAGAGUCCAAAGGUGUUGCUGAAUAGACCUCGACACCUUUGCUGAGCCCCGUGACUGUCAGUAUUGGAAUUGCUGAGAUGUGUCCAAGGAGAUGGCUUCAAGAAAAGGCUGUGCAGAAGAGCAACCAUGAACCUGCUUCAUGAACCUCCUCCACUGCUUCUGGAGCCAG